UGGGGAAUAUUGGACAAUGGGCGCAAGCCUGAUCCAGCAAUACCGCGUGUGUGAAGAAGGCCUGAGGGUUGUAAAGCACUUUCGGCGAGGAGGAAGUGUACGUAGUUAAUAGCCACGUAUGUUGACGUUACUCGCAGAAGAAGCACCGGCUAACUCUGUGCCAGCAGCCGCGGUAAUACAGAGGGUGCAAGCGUUAAUCGGAAUUACUGGGCGUAAAGCGUGCGUAGGUGGAUGCUUAAGUCAAAUGUGAAAGCCCCGGGCUCAACCUGGGAAUUGCAUCUGAUACUGGGCAUCUAGAGUAUGGUAGAGGAUGGCGGAAUUUCCGGUGUAGCGGUGAAAUGCGUAGAUAUCGGAAGGAACACCAAUGGCGAAGGCAGCCGUCUGGGCCAAUACUGACACUGAGGCACGAAAGCGUGGGUAGCAAACAGG
rnacentral:rRNA from 1 species